ensembl:lncRNA
AAUAGAAUGCUAUGGAUUCACCAGCUCUCACUUUCUCCCGUCGUGCUGUUUACAAACAAACACCUGACUGUCUCAACUGUUCUGGGGAACUACGGUGUGGGUGCGUUGUCAGCAAGUUCAGGCAGGGUGUGUGACGGAGGAGAUAUGAGAAGAGUUCCCAAAGCAACAGGCACUCAGAACACAUAGAGAAGAUCACCCAGGAACACAGAGACACAGCAGCUUUAAAGACAUAAAAACAACAGAGAGAUAUAUUGCAUCGCAAAGGAGAAGAGAAGGAGAGAAACAAAAGAAAGAGAAGAGAAGGAGAGAAUAAAAAAAGAAAAGAUGGCGAUCGGAAAGAGUCCCAGAAACGGUUCCGUCAGGUCUCCAAAGUACUUGGACAAGAGUUCUGGGUUCUACGGUCGCCUGGAUGAGCCCGAGAUGGGAGGAGAGGAGGAGGAGCAGGGGAGAGAGGGGGACUGGGGGGGAUCGUGCCCAGCCACAGAGCUCUCUACGGGGGGAGAGACGGACCGGGGAGAGCCUGGGGUGUUUGACUUCAACGAGGGAAUGAUGGAAGAUGACGACACCACUCUCCUCCGAAGGAAACCCAGCCGGCUCAGCUCCCGCUGGAGAAGAAGCUCCAGGAAGGCCAAACCCCAGGCGAUCUCCCCCAGGGAGGGGGAACAGAUCCUGGGUACAGAGAUGGAGGCCCCUGUCCUGGAGGUCACUGCGGUGGAAGUGAGAAGGAGCCGCUGGGGGAGGAGCACCGGGAAGAAACAGGGGGCCGAGCCUCUGACGGUCUCCCCCAGGGAGGAGGGCCCGAUCCUGGGUACGGAGAUGGAGACGCAGACCCCUGUCCUGGAGGUCCUGGAGGUGGAGGUGAGGGUAGAGACUGAAGAAGGACAGAGGGAGAAAGAGAGAAUAGAAGAGGAGAGGACGCUGGUCCACUUUGCGAGCAGAGAAGAAGAGGAUGACCAGGUUCUGAUAAAGGACAAUAAGAGAGGGAGGGAAGAAGAGAAGGAGGAGGAGAUGAAGGUGAUGAGGAAGAGGAGCACGCUGAAGAACUACCGCAAGACUUUCGACCGAGCGUUCCGACGAGGGUGGGAGACCUUCGUCACUAACCUGUACAGCGUGACGCUCACACCUGACUCAUCAUCAUCAUCACCCCCAUCAAGGGAGAUGCACCAUUCCUCAGCAUUAGCAGAAUACAGAUAGGAUUCACAAACCUGUUCAUCUAAUCUGUAAACUGCAAUUGUUCCAAUCAGGUUAUGUAACGCCCAUAUUGUAAUUUGAGAUUGAGGCUGGCUUGGAGAGGGUUCUGUUUGUGUUCUCAACGCAAAUGACCUGUGUUCACCUCAAUGUAUGGUUCAGUUGAUUAAUCAAUCAGUGAUAUUGAUCUAGUACAUACGGGUUUAUCAAUGAUCAAUAUGAACAGCACCCGAUUAACACCAGGAAGUACACAAAGUUUAACUCAUUCUUAUUCUGAAUUCCAAAAUAGCACACUAUUGUACUAGUGCACGAAAUAGGGAAUGGGUUUAAUACUUCCUCACAGGGUGAAGUGUUCAUACCUCUCUGGAGGACCAUCUGCAGGGUGGUUUCAGUGUUGUGCAACCUGAGGGAGACAUAUGUUUCACUAUCCAUGUACCUAUUGAAUGUACCCCAAGUGUGUUAUGUUUGUUUCAUAAAAGGAGAAUGUUUUCAUACCAUGAAAUGAACUAACCAUGGGGGACAUGAGGGUACGAAAAAAAAACGGUCUCAAACUUUGGUCCUCUGACUUUGUCUAAAAGGAGGUUGCACACAACACACACAACAUACAUUAUUUAUUCAUGUUAAUUUAUUUACUAUAUGAUCAGUUUUCACACUUUUCUGUGUAAUCUCUCUCAAUAAUAUCUUACCAAAGAGUUUAUUUAUUUUUAAUUAUUGGCUUAAAUCACAACAUAACAUCUCUCUCUUGCAGCAUUGAAGUCAAGCUCAGAAUUAUAUGAGAGCUAUACUGAGCUGCUGGAGAAAUUGUUUUUCUUCUGUGUUGCACUUGAAUGACUUGAAUGAAAUUGUUAUAUUUAGUUUAAAAAUCAAUGCUUUGUAUUACUUGUGCCAUCUUUGUAGCCUUUGUCCUUAAAUAAAUAUAAUUUCUCAAAUA